rnacentral:rRNA from 1 species
GACGAACGCUGGCGGCGUGCUUAACACAUGCAAGUCGAACGGAAAGGCCCUGCUUUUGUGGGGUGCUCGAGUGGCGAACGGGUGAGUAACACGUGAGUAACCUGCCCUUGACUUUGGGAUAACUUCAGGAAACUGGGGCUAAUACCGGAUAGGAGCUCCUGCUGCAUGGUGGGGGUUGGAAAGUUUCGGCGGUUGGGGAUGGACUCGCGGCUUAUCAGCUUGUUGGUGGGGUAGUGGCUUACCAAGGCUUUGACGGGUAGCCGGCCUGAGAGGGUGACCGGCCACAUUGGGAAUGAGAUACGGCACAGACUCCUACGGGAGGCAGCAGUGGGGAAUAUUGCACAAUGGGCGGAAGCCUGAUGCAGCAACGCCGCGGGCGGGAUGACGGCCUUCGGGUUGUAAACCGCUUGCGCCUGUGACGAAGCGUGAGUGACGGUAAUGGGUAAAGAAGCACCGGCUAACUACGUG